CUAGACAUAGGUUGAGGCUAAUGGUAUAGUGAUUACUUGGGCUGAGCAUUUUUGGAAAAAUAUUUCUUGGUUGAUGUUGUUGCACCCCAAAAUUUGCCCUCUAUUUUUAACUCUAACCAAUUUUUUGUUUCACAUUCAUUUGCAUCAUCUUCAUAGCAUAACAUUUAUUUUUCUCUGUCUUAAUAUUAGCCGGAAUAAUUUCUCGGAAU
rnacentral:lncRNA from 1 species